rnacentral:rRNA from 1 species
GGAUCCAGACUUUGAUCCUGGCUCGGGAUGAACGCUAGCUACAGGCCUAACACAUGCAAGUCGAGGGGAAACGGCAGCUUAGCUUGCUAAGCUGGACGUCGACCGGCGCACGGGUGAGUAACGCGUAUCCAACCUGCCCCACGGUGAGGGAUAACCCGCGGAAACGCGGCCUAAUACCUCAUGGUCUCCGAGUUUGCCAUCAACCUUGGAGUAAAGAUUCAUUGCCGUGGGAUGGGGAUGCGUCUGAUUAGCUUGUUGGCGGGGCAACGGCCCACCAAGGCAACGAUCAGUAGGGGUUCUGAGAGGAAAGCCCCCCACAUUGGAACUGAGACACGGUCCAAACUCCUACGGGAGGCAGCAGUGAGGAAUAUUGGUCAAUGGGCGAGAGCCUGAACCAGCCAAGUAGCGUGCAGGAAGACGGCCCUAUGGGUUGUAAACUGCUUUUAUGCGGGGAUAAAGGGGGCGACGUGUCGCCCUUUGCAGGUACCGCAUGAAUAAGGACCGGCUAAUUCCGUGCCAGCAGCCGCGGUAAUACGGAAGGUCCGGGCGUUAUCCGGAUUUAUUGGGUUUAAAGGGAGCGCAGGCCGGGUAUUAAGCGUGUUGUGAAAUGUAGGCGCCCAACGUCUGCACCGCAGCGCGAACUGGUGCCCUUGAGUACGCACGACGUUGGCGGAAUUCGCCGUGUAGCGGUGAAAUGCUUAGAUAUGGCGAAGAACUCCGAUUGCGAAGGCAGCUGACGGGAGCGCUACUGACGCUCAUGCUCGAAAGCGCGGGUAUCGAACAGGAUUAGAUACCCUGGUAGUCCGCGCGGUAAACGAUGGAUGCCCGCUAUUUGCGCGUUAG